GCCGCGACUCUUCGCAACUUCGCGUCCAUUCUGCCUCUCUCUCUUCUGCUGUAGAGCUCUUGGAGACCGCUCAUCCGUUCGUCUUGUCGAGGAGCUUUGCGUUCGCAUUUGUGGGUUUGGUGUGUUCAGGCCGUCAUGGGUGACGCUCCUCCACGCCACAAAAGCAGGUAUUCAAGCUCGCCUUCUCCAAGGGAGAGAGAAAAGCCUGAGCCCUCACGGUCACGCACUCCUCCACGGCGGUUAGUUCCCAAGCCCCGAGGAAGGUCUGGGCCGAUUAACGAUGGGCCAGAUCGCUCAAGAUCACGAACACCUCCACGUCGAAGCCGAAGAGAGCCAGAUAUAAAUAACCCAGGAAAUAACCUGUACGUUACUGGUUUAUCUACACGAGUGAACGAAAAGGAUCUCCAGGAGCAUUUCUCCCGGGAGGGAAAGGUGUUGGAAUGCCGUUUGGUGCUUGAUCCCCGCACGCGCGAGUCGCGUGGUUUCGGAUUCGUUACAAUGGAGCAUCUCGAAGAUGCGGAGCGAUGCAUAAAGUAUCUGAAUCGUUCCACCCUUGAAGGACGAAUGAUCACUGUGGAGAAGAAUCACGGCCCCACUCUGCUCCCGCAAUUACCCUUCCAUUUAGUCUCUUCUACAGCAGCGCUAAAGAUAGCAAGUACCAACCCACUGUUGGAUCCAUGUGAUCGAUUGGUUCUUUGCAGCUGAUUCAAAGUUCAGUUCUUGAGCUCCUGCCGAGUAAGGCCCUAGAGUACUACCUUCUCUUCUUCAGCUGCUGUUGGAGCUGAACUAGAGGUCAGCACUUAAUUGCCCAAUUGGUUGGCACAACUCGACCGGCAGUAUUCAAUUUUCGGUAGUCUAAACCAAUUCACUUGAAGGGAUGGCACAACGAAGAUACGGGAUCUAAUCAAAUCUCGAUAGUCUUAACCUAUUCACUGGAGUAUUCGACCCCUACCCGCCUUUCAACUAAGGGUGAGCACUAUGUGUCCAUCACGGCUGGGGAGAUGCUAUCAAAAGCCGGCAGGCAUGCUCACUGGACUGUUUUGCAACCAACUCCGUCGGCUUUAUCAAACAUUUUAAUUUCGUCCACCCGGGCCUCUCCCAACCUCUUCCAACGCUAAUGUCCAAUUAUGACCUGCACCACCUUUAAGUCUCCGACUUGUAAUGAAUGUGGGAGCAGUGUGAACAAGAGGUCAGCUUUGCAGAGCCGGAUAUUGGUUUCUAGCAGUUGUCCUUUUGGCAUGCAGGCCCCUUGUCUGUCUUUCGUGUUUCGUUUGGUGCUUUUGAAACGGCUGUAAGUUCCAUGAUUGAACCCCUAGUUAGAGCAUGGUUUGGCAGAUUCUUGUUUUUCGGGCUGAGUUGUUCAAGUUCUAGUUAUGACCUUUUCAGGUGAAAGUUCUUAUCCGCGCUGACUCCUCCCUCAACCUCGCUUGACGUUUCUUAUUGAUUAGUCGAUUUGUUUUUGACGAAAUUCGAGGUUGAGACCACGUAGAAAAAUCACACUUUUGCUGAGUAUCUGUCUUCUCAUGGAUGUGCAGGCUAAACGUAAACGAGCACGCACUCCUACUCCUGGAGAGUAUCUUGGUGUUAGAGCUAUGCAAGCAAAUCGGCGGGGAGGUGGAGGUAGAAAUGGUGGAGGCUACCCUCGUGAUAACAGGAACAUGCGGCACUCGCCCGAGUACGCACCAUAUCAAGGUGGUGGCCGUGAUAGAGGCCGAGAGAGAUCGCCUCGGCAUUCUCCAUAUCGUAGUCACGCCCGGGACCGUUCCGCAUCGCCUCAGUAUGGUUCAUACCGCCGCUGAUCGACAAUGUUGGCGCCGAUGUUGGCCAGUUUUUGAGACAAGUCGCUGUUCCUCGUCUAUGAGACAUUUAACGAUAGGAAGCUCAGUAACUAGCGUUUUAUUUUACCUUGCUCUAUAUUUUGUAUGUAUUUUGAGUAUGCGUGCACCGGUAAAUGAUCUUUUAAUCUGUUUCUAUUUGGUUGAAUUAGCAAGUGCUUGCAACUACAUCAAAACACUUCAUUUGUAGUCCCUUUACUCGUUCUGAACAGGAUUUAUCAUAGUAUGGUAUUCUUAAGCAUGGUUAUCACUUCAUGUUUGUAUUAAUAGCAAUAACAUUGUAAAAAUUCCCGUAA